rnacentral:rRNA from 1 species
GACGAACGCUGGCGGCGUGCUUAACACAUGCAAGUCGAACGGAAAGGCCCUGCUUUUGUGGGGUGCUCGAGUGGCGAACGGGUGAGUAACACGUGAGUAACCUGCCCUUGACUUUGGGAUAACUUCAGGAAACUGGGGCUAAUACCGGAUAGGAGCUCCUGCUGCAUGGUGGGGGUUGGAAAGUUUCGGCGGUUGGGAAUGGACUCGCGGCUUAUCAGCUUGUUGGUGGGGUAGUGGCUACCAAGGCUUUGACGGGUAGCCGGCCUGAGAGGGUGACCGGCCACAUUGGGACUGAGAUACGGCCCAGACUCCUACGGGAGGCAGCAGUGGGGAAUAUUGCACAAUGGGCGGAAGCCUGAUGCAGCAACGCCGCGUGCAGGAUGACGGCCUUCGGGUUGUAAACCGCUUUCGCCUGUGACGAAGCGUGAGUGACGGUAAUGGGUAAAGAAGCACCGGCUAACUACGUG